AGGGAAUAUUGCACAAUGGAGGAAACUCUGAUGCAGCGACGCCGCGUGAGUGAUGAAGGCCUUCGGGUCGUAAAGCUCUGUCGCAGGGGAAUAACACAAUGAAUGUACCCUGUAAGAAAGGAUCGGCUAACUUCGUGCCAGCAGCCGCGGUAAGACGAGGGAUCCUAGCGUUGUUCGGAAUCAUUGGGCGUAAAGCGGGUGUAGGUGGCUUUGUAAGUCAGGUGUGAAAGCCUAGGGCUCAACCCUAGAAGUGCAUUUGAUACUGCGAAGCUUGAGUGCUAGAGAGGUUACUAGAAUUCUUGGUGUAGUGGUGAAAUACGUAGAUAUCAAGAGGAAUACCGGUGGCGAAGGCGGGUAACUGGCUAGACACUGACACUCAGACCCGAAAGCGUGGGGAUCAAAC
rnacentral:rRNA from 1 species